CUAAGGUGAGUUUGAGACUACCGCUUAGAGGAUACGCUUUCGAGAGUUCUGUUUUUACCGUUAGCCUAACAUACGCUCAAUGAAAUUAUUACGGGGGUGCCAGUAGCUCUCGCUGUAUUGUCGGUAUCGCAAAAGUUCUAUCUUCUGUGGUAGAGUCGUCCUUGUUUAUUAUAAGCACAAUUAUUUAGUCAGUAUUGGCCCAAUAGCGACCUUACUACGGCAAUAGCAUCAACACUGUACAACCGUGCAAAAGUGAAAGCAUUUUUUUGCGUUGACCAAAUCGUUUCCUUUGUGAGCAAGUCCCUGGGAAAAAAAGGCUGUUGAAAAUGAACUUUAGCGUAUGCUUCAUAGCCCUUACCUUUUUUCUGAUGAGUUCUGAUUGGCAGCAUUCGAGCAAGCCUACAGUAGAAGCGGGAAAAGUUUUAUUCGGCGACAACGAAUGCUGGAAAUAUGAUUGCGUCUACAAAAGUUGCCCACCACAGGCUCCCAGUCAUUGUAUAUGCCCCACCGUUUGGGAAGCAAUGUUUGGAAUCAACAAUUGUCGAUGAGAAUAUUUCUAAAAAACCUGUAUUGUCUGAAAAUACACGUUAUUGACAGAA